rnacentral:lncRNA from 1 species
CUGAUUUUUAUUUGUUUUCUGUGACUUGGAGCUAGUUUCCGACAGCUUUUAGCCAUGAUCUCUGUUGCUCAUGGAUGCUUCUGACAUGGUCAUUCUUGUAGUUCUCAGAUUAUUAAGAUUUAGUUUAAGCAAACUCAACUCAAGGUCAGCUAGAAGGUACUCAGUGUAAUUCUAAAGAGACUGAAAUUGUUUUAGGACAAACCCAUGACAGAGCAGCCUGGGUCUGAGGAAUAGCACAAAUCAAGGUGGCAGCUACUUUGGAAGGCAAGGAGGUGGCCCAGCCUGGGAGGUUAGGCAGGAGGAUGGCAGAUUUGAGCCCAGCCCAGACAACUUAAUGACUUAGACCAAGACACCUGGUCUCAAAAAAAAAAAAAAUAAAUAAAUAGGGAGGCAUUUUUUUGUAGCAUCAGUCUGUCAUUCAGUGUAAUCUGCGUUAUUCAUCCUUGCUAUAAAUUAUGACCAACAGCCAUAAGAGCUAGGCACAGGAGGAGGGCGCUUCAGAUGCCUGCAGUGACCACUGCCUGCUGCUUUGACUUGUGCAUGUUCUUCUUGUGCUCUGCAGGUGCACUAGUUCACAGGGUCUGGGAAGUGGCAUCUGUGACUUAUCUAAAAUUGGAAUCACGUCAUCGGCAGCAAGUGUGACAUGUGAAGGGAAGACCGGAUGGCAGGAUCGUGUGAAUGCUUACGGAAAUCAGAGCAACGACCAUUCAUCGAACGCUUGAUAAAGGGUUAGCCAAGCAUGAUCAUGAUGUCGAGGGCUUCUCCAUGAUCUCAAGUUCUCAAGUGAGCCCAGAUGCCAGCUGUCAUAUCUUCUUUCCCCCCAAACUUGCAGGAGCAAUCGACCACAUCUUCCCUUCAGGGUCGGACUUCACAUCCAGAGCCGAGUGUGUAACACUUCCUCUUUCAGUCUCACAGACCAAACCAAAUGUGGACCGUGGCAGCAGCCAAUCAUCUGCUCUCCCAGCUGCUUUCCUGUUCCCUCCAUGUGCAUGGAAGUUGUUGAUUUAACUUUUACUUAAAAUCAUUACAAAAAAAGAAAAUAAAAAAACAGCUAAAUUUUACCUCAGUUAGUCACAUUUUUUUCCUCGAAGUUUUUUCUGAAGGUUAUAUUCUUUUGGGAAAUAACUUUGAUAAAUUGAAUUUAUUGCUUUUGAAACAAAUCUUAAAUUUUUGGCAGAAUCAGUGGACUUUCAUUUAGUCUUCUCUCUCAUCUCUUGAUUUU